UACGUAGGGUGCGAGCGUUAAUCGGAAUUACUGGGCGUAAAGCGCACGUAGGCGGCUUUGUAAGUUAGAGGUGAAAGCCCGGGGCUCAACUCCGGAAUUGCCUUUAAGACUGCAUCGCUAGAAUUGUGGAGAGGUAAGUGGAAUUCCGAGUGUAGAGGUGAAAUUCGUAGAUAUUCGGAAGAACACCAGUGGCGAAGGCGACUUGCUGGACACAUAUUGACGCUGAGGUGCGAAAGCGUGGGGAGCAAACAGG
rnacentral:rRNA from 1 species